CUUGCCUGCCCUGAUGGUUCUAAUCCGCAGAGUCUCCAGUAGUGGUUCUUCUGGAAGCAGCAACAGCAAGGCUGAUGUUCUGAUAGAGCCUGGAAGGACACAUCACCUCCCAUGCAAAGAGUCCUCUUCACAAGAAUAACAGGAGCUCCAAUUACUGCCCACUUACUAGACAACUCUGCCUGGCAUGAUGCACACACACUAAUUUGAUCUUCUAAACCAUCUAUGAGUGAUUUCCUGUCUUCUGAUAGCCCAUCGUGUCCAUCCCCUCCUGCUGCUUUGCUGGAUACACAGGUGAGGAAGAAUCAAUUCUGUGAGCAAAGGCAGGUGGGAGGAGGGAGGCCACCUCCUUUGGGGAGCUCGGGUUGGCUCACCUGGGUCAGCAUUAUGUCCCAAGAGGAGGGGGAGGAAGGUGGGAAGUUGGAAUUACUAUGUCUGGUACAAACUCUGCCUGUAUAAUCAGUGGUCUCACCUUGGGCAGAUUUCUUUCCCUCUUUAAUUUUCUCAAGCAUAAAUUAAUCACGUAUGCAGGACUUGGAAACAACUAGUGAGCUAAGAGGUACAAACAUGAUUUUAAAACUAAUGCCAGGGGGCAGGUGGUGUGCACACAGUUGAGUGCACGUGCUACAAUGCACGUGCACAAGGACCUGGGUUCAAGCCCCUGGCCCCCACCUGCAGGAGAAAAGCUUCACACGAGGUAAAACAAUGCUGCAGGUAUCUCUAUCUCUCUCCCCCUACCUCCCCACUCCCCUUGUGCUUUCUCUGUUUCUACCCAAAUAAAUAAAUCAAAUAUUAAAAAACUUUGAUGUCCACACAAGGAUCCCGGUUGGAGUCCUUGGCUCCCCACCUGCAGGGGGGUUGCUUCAUAAGUGGUGAAGCAGGUCUGCAGGAGUCUCUCUGUUCUAUCCAAUAAAAAAAAAAAAAAAAAGAUGGCCUCCAGGAACAGUGGAUUUGUAGUGAGUCCCAGUGAUAACCCUGGAGGCAAAAAACAAAACAAAACUUGAAUGUACCAGACAAAUAUGUGGUUGCACCAUCUCUUUUCUGAUUGUGGUGGCCAUAACUGACUUCAGGGCCUGGGCUCAACUUCCUAGAUGACUGUACACAUGCUCCCAUCACUAACCUCUGUGUCCCAUCUACACUGCCACCCUACUUCCACGUUCAGUGGCAGAGGGGUGGUCCACCCUUUGGAAAUUGCAGAGCAGAUUUAAGAACCCAGAUACUCAGGAAGAGAGACUCACAAGCUCAGAGAAGGACCCUGUGAAAGGGGCUGCCCAUCACCUCUGCCAAAUGUUAAGUGGUGGGCUUUUCUUCUGACCUUAAAGAUGUUGUUCUGGGUGGGAGUGUCGAUGCCCAAAUGAAGCAUGGCCUCUCUGGUCACCUCAAAACAAUCCUCUGAAAAGGAAUUCAAGUCGUAGCCCAGUGUCAGGACCAGCAGUCAGCAGAGGUGAUGAGGGGGUGAGGAAGGUAGGCCCUGUACAGAGGGUGAAUGGGUGCUGUGGGGCCAGCCCAAGGAGCUGGGUAAAACGACUACCUUCCAAAGUCCUCUCUGGGUUGGGCAGCCAGGAGAAGACUGCUCCCUCGGGGAGGUGCCACUGGAGCCUCUCAUCCAUAUUGGCUCCUUUGCAAAUCUGCAAAAGUGAAAGGGGAGUGGCUGAGCUCAGGGAGUGAAGGAAAUAGGUUUAUGAAGACCUGGGGCUGUAACAAGGAAAGAGACAAUGGCGACAACCCCAAGGCCAAGAGGCCCCUUAGAGCUCCCCGGGCAGCCAUAGGAGCAAAAGGAGGAAAUAGUUCUACAUGGCUCCAACUUGAUAGAAACAAAAAGCCUGCUGGGGACACCUGUACACUAGUGAAGAAGGCAUGACACCUUGCUUGGAGGGCCAGGAUGCUUUUAAUACUGCAGCAGUGAGAUACACUAUCCACGUCUCAGGAACUAACAUGAAUGGACCACUUCGGGAAAGCCCUCUUUCUACCGGAGGAGACAGUCACCAUUCUACGGGAGUCCGAGCUACCAGGUUCCAGAUGCCAUCAGGAUGCCGGCCAGGCUUCCCUGGACUAAAGACCCCACCAGUGUGUCCUGGAUCUCUGCUUCCCCAGAGACCCACCCUACUAGGGAAAGAGAGAGGCAGACUGGGAGUAUGGACCGACCAGUCAACGUCCAUGUUCAGCAAGGAAGCAAUUACAAAAGCCAGACCUUCUACCUUCUGCAACCCACAACGACCCUGGGUCCAUGCUCCCAGAGGGAUAGAGAAUGGGAAAGCUAUCAGGGGAGGGGAUGGGAUAUGGAGAUUGGGUGGUGGGAACUGUGUGGAGUUGUACCCCUCCUACCCUAUGGUUUUGUUAAUUUAUCCUUUCUUAAAUAAAAAACAAAUUUAAAAAAAUCCUCAUGUUGUAGUCUGGGAGGUGGCACAGUG